rnacentral:rRNA from 1 species
UGCCAGCCGCCGCGGUAAUACGAAGGGGGCUAGCGUUGUUCGGAAUCACUGGGCGUAAGGCGUAUGUAGGCGGAUCAAAAAGUUGAUGGUGAAAUCCCAAGGCUCAACCUUGGAACUGCCAUCAAAACUUUUUAGCUAGAGUGUGAUAGAGGUAAGUGGAAUUUCUAGUGUAGAGGUGAAAUUCGUAGAUAUUAGAAAGAACACCAAAUGCGAAGGCAACUUACUGGGUCACUACUGACACUGAGGAGCGAAAGCAUGGGUAGCGAAGAGGAUUAGAUA